rnacentral:tRNA from 1 species
UGGGAUAGCUCAGCUGGUAGAGCAUCUCCAUGGUAAGGAGAAGGUCGUGGGUUCGAUUCCCAUUCCC